rnacentral:rRNA from 1 species
UGCGUAGGCGGAAUAUUAAGUCAGUGGUGAAAUCCUGCGGCUCAACCGUAGAACUGCCAUUGAUACUGAUAUUCUUGAAUAUAGUUGAGGUAGGCGGAAUGUGUAAUGUAGCGGUGAAAUGCUUAGAUAUUACACAGAACACCGAUUGCGAAGGCAGCUUACUAAACUAUUAUUGACGCCGAUGUACGAAAGCGUGGGGAGCGAACAGGAUUAGAUACCCUGGUAGUCC